rnacentral:rRNA from 1 species
UACGGAGGUGGCUAGCGUUGUUCGGAAUUACUGGGCGUAAAGCGCGCGUAGGCGGAUCUGCAAGUCGGGGGUGAAAUCCCGAGGCUCAACCUCGGAACUGCCUUCGAUACUGCGGGUCUCGAGUCCGGGAGAGGUGAGUGGAAUUCCUAGUGUAGAGGUGAAAUUCGUAGAUAUUUGGAGGAAUACCGGCGGCGAAGGCGGCCUUCUGGGCCAUUCUUGACACUGAGACGCGAAAGCGUGGGUAGCAAACAGG